GUGUGCAAAGCAGAUGAAAUCACGCACUUGAAAUGCUAAGCACAGAGUGUCAUUUAGGGCUCGACUCACGUUGCCUGCUUCCAUUAACUCCAAGGGAUUUAGAUGUAAUCCAUGAAAAGAGGCUCAGAAGGGAAAGUGAUCCCAAUGCAGCAGAGACUGGGUUCUGCUUUGGAUGUGUUGGGUAGUUUGUGGUACAAAAGAGUCUCCAGCUGGAAAGGCCAGAAGAGCUCUGGACACACGGAAGGUCAUCAACUUGGAAGAAGACAAGAGACAGAACAAGAGAAUGGCAUUGGGGAGGCAAAGAGGACGAUGUUGGAAGAGCACAGGUAUGUUCUCUUCGUGGGGGAAGAGUAUCAUCAUAAUGCAGAGCAUUUUCCUGAAGAGUAAUAGAUUAUAGGGAGAAGACAUAAUGGUCCUUCUUUGAAAACUCCAAUAUGAUUCACUGAGACGCUGAACUUGAGAAAUGAAGAUGGAAGUGAAGUAAGACCUCUCUGCUGCUGCUUCCACUGUACACAGCUUCUGCUUAUUUCUGGCCAGUGGAGUGAGAAGGCAGGGAACACAGAUCACUCCCUCAACACGUGCAAGGAAAAGCCAAGUGCAGCAGCUGUUACCAACUGCAGGCAUUGGCUCCCUGAUAGCAGAGCUCCCAGCAAGACUCCUGGGUCUGAAGCCAGGCAAGUACUUGGAGUCCUAGCCUGCAAGGAAAGCCCUUCUCCCCUCCUGUUUCUCUGCCCUGAAUCUACUGAAGACCAAUGCCAGAAGCAGCAGCCUUCAGGAGUUGAAGACCCACCAUUCCAGAAGACUGAAAUGACUGACGGUGGCAGAGUAGCCUCUGCCAGUAUUUAGCUCUCCAGUAACCGAUGGGGAGCAGCUGGAUAAAACCUGCUUUUCCAAACUGUAGCCUCUCUAAGCAGAGCACUGACAAUAAAGGGAGAAAAAGUUAAACAUCAGAAAAGACAAAGGAAUGGAUACAAGUUUCCUCAUAUUUUAAGGAAACACCUUGUUCUUUGGAGAUACAUUUUUGGAAAAAAAUUAGUAUGUUUUGGAUUCAAAUUAUCCCCCUGCAUAAGAAGAUAUUCUGUAGCUUCUGGAGUGAAAAUCACAAAAGGAACAAAAACAAACAGAAAUGAGAUUAUUUAAAAGUAGCACAUGUUAACUUUGGACUAUUAAGUAACUUAAUGUGUUAAACUAGGUUCUCCUGCACUUCCUUGUACAGUCCUGAGAAAUAUAUAAUAACGUCCUGAAAGGUAAAUACAAAGUAAUAUGUCAGAUGAUAAUCACAUCGCAGAUUUAUGACUACUGGUUAUAAUUUUGGAAAACAGUGGAGUAAGUGGAGAACACUUACUCAGUGCAUCACGGGGUUCAAGGAGCCACCUCCAUACACUGCUAGCUUUUUGGCUUUGGGGAAUGACUACACAAAUCAUUUAAAGAGCAGCUAAUCAACAAUUUAAGGACAAAUGUACACAUAGUAGUUAGCAGUUUCUAUGUUCUGGGUCAAAUGAGUCAUAUGAAAGUGAUAAAUUCCAGCCUGCAGCUGUUAUGCUAAUGAAGUCACCAGUGAGUCAAGUUCUAUCUAAAUAUAUGCACAUGCAUUUCUAUUGCCAUUACAUUUACCCCCAGUUGACAUCAAUUAUCUCAAGAGUUAAAGGGCAUCUCUUCACACCCCUAAAAAAUAAAAAAAAAAAUUACCCAGAAUAAAUUAUGCGUUCAGCAAAUCCCCAGAUAGAUUCAAUAUACCCCAGGAUAGCAUUCAGAUUUCAGUCCUUUCAAUGGGCAGCUUCUGGACCCUGACUCGAGGUGCUCUGUCCUCACAACAGAGAAAACUGUGCAGUAGUGUUAGUGCGGGCUUUUGCUCUCACGAUCUUGGUGAUCAGCAUUGAAAGGAAGAGAGAUUUUUGUCUCAACCUUUGUUCAGGGUUGUAUCCACAGACGUAAGGCAAACACAACUGUUUUUCUUUAGUAUUUUUUUUUCAAAACCAUAAUAUGAGGUCGUCACAAUGAUAUUUUCUUUCGCUUUUGCGUGGAGAUCACAAUUCAGGAUGAAAAAUACAGAACCUAGCAAAUUCUCAGUUAUUUUAGUUUACCCUAGGAAAAACCCUGAAGACAACCAUAGCCACAGAAGGCAGGAAUUGAGAUUCCACUUUGCAGGCAUCUGGGGUUCAAGUAACUACAAAACAUAAAGUAGCCAGAGCAAUAAACUGGGUCAGAGUGUCAGGUCUGGCAAGGAGGAGUGGCCUGACCCACUUGUGUCAUUUGGCGCUUGGGGCCUCUAUUGACUGACCUGGAAUCUGAGAAGCUUAGGGAAGGUCAUUUCAAAAAUGUUCUUAGUUCUAAUAUCCUAUAUUUGGGUAAAGAGAAUGUUAAGCAAUAUUAUAACUUGCAAAAGUAGCAUCAAUUGCCCCCUCCAAAAAUCACAACCUUUACAAUUAAUUUCCCCUCUCCCAGUAACUCACCUUUAAAAAUAGAAAGGCUGUACAUUUGAAAAAAAAAAA